AACGCACAUUGCGCCCCCUGGUAUUCCGGGGGGCAUGCCUGUCCGAGCGUCAUUUCUGCCCUCAAGCACGGCUUGUGUGUUGUGCCCCGUCCUCCGAUCCCGGGGUACGGGCCCGAAAGGCAGCGGCGGCACCGCGUCCGGUCCUCGAGCGUAUGGGGCUUUGUCACACGCUCUGUAGGCCCAGCAGGCGCUUGCCGAUCACCACAAAUUUUUAUCCAGGUUGAGCUCGGAUCAGGUAGGGAUACCCGAUGAACUUA
rnacentral:misc_RNA from 1 species